GACCCUCGGCCUGCCGCACCAAGUGAGCACCGUGUGCAGCGGUCAGGGUUCCCAGUUGCCAUCGGGAUCAGUAGGAUUCUGCCCAGCGAUGCCUCCAACUUUCCUUGAAAUUGAUCGGAGGUGAUAUUUCAAAGUCAGUGCAUAAGAGACAGAGAAAUGCCAUCGAGAGUUAGGCCUCACUUCACUUAGCUAGUCGGUGACAUGUGCAGUGUUGCUUUUGUAUUGUGGAUACCUGUUCGGUAGGAACUAGGCUGCCAACCCAUUUCACGUAGGCCGCCAGAUUCGAUGCCCAGCUGCUGUCAGCGGUAGGGACUGCCACCCACACAGCAUUCCUCUCUGCAUCUCAGAUGGAUGAAAGAGAGAGAGAGGUGCUGGGAAACAGCUGUAAAUGAACCUGUGGGUACGAAGGAGAAAUCAGAGCAGGAUGGAAGCACUGACGCAAUGUGACACAAUGAGAAAGGGAACUGAGAGGGCUCCAUGGCAUAGCAGCAUACCACAAAACGUGGUGUUUCCUUAAUAAGUGUGGCUCAGAA